UGAGAUAAAAGUUAGCAAUCCAAUAAAAUAACUUGGCAUUAAAAAUAGUAUAAUGAUUUUAUAAAUUAAACCAGAGAGCUGCUUAACCGAAUAAAAAGAUGAAUUUUCUAGGUUGUUUAGGCUAUCCUUCAAGCCACUUAGAUACACCUGGUUGGGAUUGAGCCAAUACCUCAGUUCAAAUACAUGAAGACUAGGUUUUGCACGCUUGUCACCACACACAUUUCCUUUGAAGUCAAAACCAUGUGUUAGCCUGGUGAAACAUACACAACCCUUGGGCCAUCAGGACUAGUUAUAAAGUAGCAUUACUUCUAAACAUAUAUCAAAACCAUGAACUAGCAGUCUAACUUCUGAGAAUAGAACCAUGAACUAGCGGUCUAGAUUUUUUCUAAACAUAUAUCAAAACCAUGAACUAGCAGUCUAACUUCUGAGAAUAGAACCAUGAACUAGCGGUCUAGAUUUUUUCUAAACAUAUAUCAAAACCAUGAACUAGCAGUCUAGAUUGAGUCCAAUUAAAUUAUGACGAUAAUUUAAUUAAACCAUAAAACUCAUUUUUCUAAACAUAUAUCAAAACCAUGAACUAGCAGUCUAGAUUUUUUAAUUUGACGAUGAUAAUGAUCAAAACCAUAAAACUCAUUUUUCUAAACAUAUAUCAAAACCAUGAACUAGCAGUCUAGAUUUUUUCUUAGCAAUUUAGCCAGUCCUACCGUAUCAAUUCCCUC
rnacentral:lncRNA from 1 species